rnacentral:rRNA from 1 species
GACGAACGCUGGCGGCGUGCUUAACACAUGCAAGUCGAACGAAGUGGCGAACGGGUGAGUAACGCGUAAUCACCCUGCCCUUCAGAGGGGGACAACAGUUGGAAACGACUGCUAAUACCGCAUACGGAAGGCGGGGCUUGCGUCUGAUUAGAUAGUUGGCGGGGUAACGGCCAACCAAGGCGAUGAUACGUAGCCGGUCUGAGAGGAUGAACGGCCACAUUGGGACUGAGACACGGCCCAGACGCCUACGGGAGGCAGCAGUGGGGAAUCUUCGGCAAUGGACGAAAGUCUGACGGAGCAACGCCGCGUGAGUGAUGACGGCCUUCGGGUUGUAAAGCUCUGUUAAUCGGGACGCGGUACCGGAAUAGAAAGCCACGGCUAACUACGUGCCAGCAGCCGCGGUAAUAC